UGGGGAAUAUUGCACAAUGGGCGAAAGCCUGAUGCAGCAACGCCGCGUGAGUGAUGAAGGCCUUCGGGUUGUAAAGCUCUGUCUUUUGGGACGAUAAUGACGGUACCAAAGGAGGAAGCCACGGCUAACUACGUGCCAGCAGCCGCGGUAAUACGUAGGUGGCAAGCGUUGUCCGGAUUUACUGGGCGUAAAGGAUGCGUAGGCGGAUUUUUAAGUGAGAUGUGAAAACCCUAAGCUUAACUUGGGGACUGCAUUUCAUACUGGAAAUCUAGAGUGCGGGAGAGGAGAAUGGAAUUCCUAGUGUAGCGGUGAAAUGCGUAGAGAUUAGGAAGAACACCAGUGGCGAAGGCGAUUCUCUGGACCGUAACUGACGCUGAGGCAUGAAAGCGUGGGUAGCAAACAGGAUUAGAUACCCUGGUAGUCCACGCCGUAAACGAUGAGUACUAGGUGUAGGAGGUAUCGACCCCUUCUGUGCCGCAGUUAACACAAUAAGUACUCCGCCUGGGGAAGUACGAUCGCAAGAUUAAAAACUCAAAGGAAUUGAC
rnacentral:rRNA from 1 species